CCUACGGGCGGCAGCAGUGAGGAAUCUUGGUCAAUGGGCGAGAGCCUGAACCAGCCAAGUAGCGUGAAGGAUGACUGCCCUACGGGUUGUAAACUUCUUUUAUAAAGGAAUAAAACGAGGCACGUGUGCCUUUUUGUAUGUACUUUAUGAAUAAGGAUCGGCUAACUCCGUGCCAGCAGCCGCGGUAAUACGGAGGGUCCGAGCGUUAUCCGGAUUUAUUGGGUUUAAAGGGAGCGUAGAUGGGUUGUUAAGUCAGUUGUGAAAGUUUGCGGCUCAACCGUAAAAUUGCAAUUGAUACUGGCAGCCUUGAGUAAAGUUGAGGUAGGCGGAAUUCGUGGUGUAGCGGUGAAAUGCUUAGAUAUCACGAAGAACCCUGAUUGCGAAGGCAGCUUACUAAACUGUGACUGACAUUGAUGCUCGAAAGUGUGGGUAUCAAACAGGAUUAGAUACCCGAGUAGUC
rnacentral:rRNA from 1 species